rnacentral:rRNA from 1 species
GGACGAACGCUGGCGGCGUGCUUAACACAUGCAAGUCGAACGGAAAGGCCCUGCUUGCAGGGUACUCGAGUGGCGAACGGGUGAGUAACACGUGGGUGAUCUGCCCUGCACUUCGGGAUAAGCCUGGGAAACUGGGUCUAAUACCGGAUAGGACCAUCGUUUAGUGUCGGUGGUGGAAAGUUUUUCGGUGCAGGAUGAGCUCGCGGCCUAUCAGCUUGUUGGUGGGGUAAUGGCCUACCAAGGCGUCGACGGGUAGCCGGCCUGAGAGGGUGGACGGCCACAUUGGGACUGAGACACGGCCCAGACUCCUACGGGAGGCAGCAGUGGGGAAUAUUGCACAAUGGGCGCAAGCCUGAUGCAGCGACGCCGCGUGGGGGAUGAAGGCCUUCGGGUUGUAAACUCCUUUCAACCAUGACGAAGCAUUAUGUGACGGUAGUGGUAGAAGAAGCACCGGCUAACUACGUGCCAGCAGCCGCGGUAAUACGUAGGGUGCGAGCGUUGUCCGGAAUUACUGGGCGUAAAGAGCUCGUAGGUGGUUUGUCGCGUCGUCUGUGAAAUUCCGGGGCUUAACUCCGGGCGUGCAGGCGAUACGGGCAUAACUUGAGUGCUGUAGGGGAGACUGGAAUUCCUGGUGUAGCGGUGAAAUGCGCAGAUAUCAGGAGGAACACCGAUGGCGAAGGCAGGUCUCUGGGC